CUGCUGUAUGGGUUAAAUUUCUGAAAAUUCCAUCCCGCUUACCACUAUACGAACUGCCUAUCUUCUGGGGAUGCUGCAGUCUGCUGCUGAGGAUCUGGACCAGCACCAUACAAAGUGGUUGUUUCUAGGGAAACCAACGGUGGGUUUUGCCAGCAUGUCAACAGGCUUUGUGAUCUGAAAGAGGCUGGAGGGAAGGGAAGCGAGGGCAGAGUCACUGAGCUGGAGCGGUGAGAUCCGGGAGGGGGCUGCCUGCCAGGCCGGCUGUGAAAGAAGAGGACAGCGCUGAAAGUAGGCUAUUGCACUUGGCAGAUUCGGAGAAACGACGCGGCAGAAUCCUAAUUGUAGUGGACGACUGAAGUGGGAAUGAAGUCACGCUAUCCUUUAUCUGAUGAUGAAGCUGAGAGGCUGAGCAUCUGAGCCUCACAGAGAUAAGAGCCUGAAGUCACGGAUGAUGCUCCUUGUGUGGGGGAGAAGACUCCAGAUCACUGCUGCCAGUACAGUAGGGAAGGGAACUCGAUAUCCAGAGGAAGGAAUAUCGAUAUCCAGUUAAGAUGGACAUCCUCACACAGAUUUGCCCAUAGGAAGGCUGAAGGAAGUGUCUUCUCUGCCAUUGUGUGCAGUGUGCUCAUUUCUUUAAGCCUUCUGAGGACCCUAGGAUGUAGCUAUCGUUUCCACCCCACAGAGGAGAAGACAAGCACAGAGGUAACAGACCCAAGGUUACCUACCUCAGUGUCAGACUUCUCAUUCAGGGAAUCUGAACAGAGCCUUUCUUGUCAACCUAUAUGCUAUGAUGGAAGAAAGCUCAAAGGAGGGCAAGCACCUGCCUCACAGAGAGCCUGGGAGGACCGCCUUAGAAGAUGCACAUAUGAGCUCAUAACACCUGCCUCACAGAAUGACUGGGAGGACCGCAUUAGAAGAUGCACACAUGAGACUAUAGCACCUGCUUCACAGAAAGCCUGGGAGGACCACACUAGAAAACACACAUACGGUGAGCUUCACAUACACUCUGAUGUGCCGAGUGAGUGUAUGGAGAUGGCAGCCACGACUGUUUAUGGAAAAACAGGACAAUAGCAAAACAGCAAAUUCUACAGAAAAUUAAAUUAGCAAUUACAAAAUUAUUCACAUUUCUCAGAGUUAUGCGAACAAGAACUCAUGUAUUUCAAAUUAUUCAUAGUUAACUAGAUUAUACAUUCAAAAACAUUUGUUCAUGAUCAACUAUGAGGCACCAUUUUAUUUUGAAGAAUUUUGCAUUGGCAUAUUUUUGUUCUUGCUUUUAUUUUUUGAGACAACAUCCCGUGCAGCCCAGACUGGCCUUGAUUCUGCUGCUCCUGCCUCCUGAGGACUUGAUUACAGGCAUAUCACACUAUACCCAACUCUGACAUUGCUAUUCGAAAAUAAACAUUCUUUUCAAAGAAUUGAACAUAUAUCACCAAAGGAGGUCAGGUGUUAAUUCCUUUAUAUCACUUUCUAAACACCUCAGAGAGACACUGGAACAGACAGAACCUGAUCAGCAAAGUGAGUCCCUUGUGGGAGAAAAAUGAAGGUAAGUAAGGACAAUGGCAGUCAAGACCUUGGCAUUUAAGACAGGAUGGGAAAGAAUUAUCUUAACCGCUAAACUUAUAUUAAAUGGAAAAUUCCAGAAAUAGACAUCUCAUACAUCUUAAAUUGCAUGGUAGCCCAAAUAGCAUUUUUUUUGAUUGUUGUUUUUUUUUUGGGGGGGUGGGGUGGGGUUUGAGACAGGGUUUCUCUGUAUAGUUUUGGUGCCUGUCCUGGAACUCACUCUGUAGACCAGGCUGGCCUUGAACUCACAGAGAUCCUCCUGGCUCUGCCUCCCGAGUGCUGGGAUUAAAGGCGCACAUGCCACCACCAUCCGGCUCCCAAAUAGCAUUUUCAAACCCCACACUGUCCUUCCUGUCUUGCCUGGGAUGGACAGUGAAUCGUCCUGUCCAGUGUCUCCAUGCUGUGUAUGACACCUGGUCAUUUCCGUUACUAGACCCACUGCUGGAGUAUUGAGACAGGAACUAGCUUCCCUUAGGCAGUAAGGACAGGGUUGAUGGUGGAUCAUGAGCUGCUUAUGUGGCAUUCACGACCCAACCCUGGAACAGGCAAAUAACUAUCGAACUGGUCAAGAUAUGUGGGCUCCUUACUGGUUUGGCUCAUAAUGCACUAAAAAAAAAAUGACCAAUCACAAUACAGAUCACCCAGUCUUCAUCCACUUGCUACCAUAAGACCCACGAAGGGCCACAGGGAAGACUGUAUGUGCCUGUCAUACUCAGGAGUUUUCUCACUUUUCCUUAAUAAACCCGUAUUUGCUUGGCUCA